CUGCUGAAGAAGCAUUAGCUGAUCCAUAUUUUCAUGGUUUGGCAAAUGUGGACCGUGAACCAUCAACACAACCCAUCUCAAAAUUUGAGUUUGAGUUUGAAAGGACGAAAUUGUCGAAGGAAGAUGUACGAGAAUUAAUUUACCGAGAGAUAUUGGAGUAUCAUCCCCAAAUGCUUCAGGAAUACCUGAAUGGUGCAGAUCAAACUAGCUUCCUGUA